rnacentral:lncRNA from 1 species
AAUUUUGAAUGAAGAUUUGGACAAAAUUCUAAAUGAAGAUCUGGGCAAAGUUUCCUGAUCUGGUUAAAGGAGAAAAUCAAGCUGAAGGUACUUCUCUAAAAGAUGGAUUUAAAUUGGUAACUUCGAAGAAAAGAAACAAAAAACAAAAUUCAAAAGAUAGAACAAAUACUAUCUUAAUGUCUAGUCUCUCAAAAUCUUCCUCAUGAAGUGUUUAUAUUGGAACAUCAGAGGUGUUGCCAAUAUAUCUUCUAGAUCGGAUCUAAAGAGAUUG